UACGUAGGUGGCAAGCGUUUGUCCGGAUUUACUGGGCGUAAAGAGCGCGCAGGCGGUCGUACAAGUCGCGUGUGAAAGCCCCCGGCUCAACUGGGGAGGGUCACGCGAUACUGUUCGACUCGAAGGCAGGAGAGGGAAGCGGAAUUCCCGGUGUAGUGGUGGAAUGCGCAGAUAUCAGGAGGAACACCAAUAGCGAAGGCAGCUCGCUGGGACGUUACUGACGCUGAGACGCGAAAGCGUGGGGAGCAAACAGG
rnacentral:rRNA from 1 species